AAAGUGGGCCAGGCGGUCGCUCCGUCCGAGGUUCGUACGGAACUCGUUUCCGGCCGGGCGCGGGCGGGGAGGAAAGUCCGAACUGGACAGGGCACGGUGAUGGCUAACGGCCACCGGUGGCGACGCCAGGGAAAGUGCCACAGAAAACAUACCGCCGCCGACCUGCUUCGGCAUGUCGGAGGUAAGGGUGAAAUGGUGCGGUAAGAGCGCACCGCGCGACCGGUGACGGUCGUGGCAGGGCAAACCCCACCGCCAGCAAGCCCACAUAGACGGCGAGCGUCGGCGCGGCCGUGAUGCGGUGUGUCUGUCGGCACGCCUCGUCGCGGCCGCGCCGGCCCCGACGCGGCCCGCGUCGGACCACGCCGCGGGUAGGGUGCUCGAGCCGGCGGGCGACCGUCGGCCCAGAUAAAUGACCGCCACCCGGCGUUUCGGCGUCGGGAACGGAAUUCGGCUUACCGGCCCACUUUGCCG
rnacentral:RNase_P_RNA from 1 species